rnacentral:lncRNA from 10 species
UACUAACAAUACAAAAAUUAGCUGAGCAUAAUGGCGCAUGCCUGUAAUCCCAGCUACUCAGGAGGCUGAGGCAGGAGAAUCUCUUGAACCCGUGAAGUGAAGGUUGCAGUCAGCCAAGAUCGUGCCACUGCACUCCAGUCUGGGUGACAAGAGCAAAACUCCAUCUCAGGAAAAAAACGAAAACAAAAACAAAAAACCAUAUACAAAAUGUUUAGAAAUGAGAAAGACAAUAUAUAAGAAUUGUCUAAGGUGUACUUAUGAGGUAAGAGAUUUUGGAGUGAAAGCAGGUAGAGGAUAAUUUAUUUGUGAAGAUUAGAUUUAAGUAGAGAUUACAGAAGACAAAUGAAACUCAAUCAUGUGUGAGUAGAUUACCUCUAUUAUAAUUUAUAGGUAAUAAAUAUGUAUGCUCCUACCGUAAGUGUUGUGGUGGGUACUACUUCAUUUUGUUGAUGUGAUAAUACUUACAUAUUAAAGCAAUAUGUUGAUGAAAUAAAGAAUUUAAUAUAACAACCACAGAGGA